rnacentral:rRNA from 1 species
GAUGAACGCUAGCGGGAGGCUUAACACAUGCAAGUCGAGGGGCAGCAUAGGGUAGCAAUACUCUGAUGGCGACCGGCAAACGGGUGAGUAACGCGUAUGCAACCUACCCUGUACAGGGGGAUAACCCGGAGAAAUUCGGACUAAUAUCCCGUAAUAAUAUCCGGAGGCAUCUUUGGAUAUUUAAAGUUCCGACGGUACGGGAUGGGCAUGCGUAACAUUAACUGGUUGGUAAGGUAACGGCUUACCAAGGCUAUGAUGUUUAGGGGUCCUGAGAGGGUGGUCCCCCACACUGGUACUGAGACACGGACCAGACUCCUACGGGAGGCAGCAGUGAGGAAUAUUGGUCAAUGGGCGCAAGCCUGAACCAGCCAUCCCGCGUGCAGGAAGACGGCCCUAUGGGUUGUAAACUGCUUUUCCAGGGACGAGAAACUUACGCACGUGUUGCGUGACUGACGUACCCUGGGAAUAAGCAAUCGGCUAACUCCGUG